UGUUAAGUGACGAAAGUGAAGGUAGAGAAUUUUAUACCAUCUUUUCUGUAAGAAGGGUGGUGAAAGGCCACAAGCAGCUACUGGACCAGACAACACAGGUCUGGAGUUCUAAUUCCAGUUCUUGCAACCUGAGCAAACUCUUUAACUUCCCUGAAUCUCAGUUUCUCCAAAUGUGAAACAGGGAAAAUAACGUUCCCCUACCCCCCCGUCUGACAUGGCUAAAAGAGGUCUUCUAUGUGAAAAGGUGAAGAUCCCUGGAUUGUGAAAGGCAGAGCUUCGUAUCUGGCAGAAGCUC
rnacentral:lncRNA from 1 species